GACAGAGGGUGCAAACGUUGUUCGGAAUUACUGGGCGUAAAGCGCGUGUAGGCGGCAAGGCAAGUCGGGUGUGAAAGCCCUGGGCUCAACCCAGGAAGUGCAUUCGAUACUGCCCAGCUAGAGUCCCGGAGAGGAUGGUGGAACUCUCGGUGUAGAGGUGAAAUUCGUAGAUAUCGAGAAGAACACCGGUGGCGAAGGCGGCCAUCUGGACGGUGACUGACGCUGAGACGCGAAAGCGUGGGGAGCAAACAGG
rnacentral:rRNA from 1 species